rnacentral:rRNA from 1 species
CCUACGGGUGGCAGCAGUGGGGAAUAUUGCGCAAUGGGCGAAAGCCUGACGCAGCGACGCCGCGUGAGGGAUGAAGGUCUUCGGAUCGUAAACCUCUGUCAGCAGGGAAGAACGGUCACUGUGCUAAUCAGCAGUGAAUUGACGGUACCUGAGGAAUAAGCCACGGCUAACUACGUGCCAGCAGCCGCGGUAAGACGUAGGUGGCAAGCGUUAUCCGGAUUUAUUGGGUGUAAAGGACGUGUAGGCGGGAGCGCACGUCAGAUGUGAAAACUCAGGGCUCAACCCUGAGCCUGCAGUUGAAACUGGGUUUCUUGAGUGCGGGAGAGGCAAGCGGAAUUCCGGGUGUAGCGGUGAAAUGCGUAGAUAUACGGAGGAACACCAGUGGCGAAGGCGGAUUGCUGGACAGUAACUGACGCUGAGGCGCGAAAGCGUGGGGAGCAAACAGGAUUAGAUACCCGGGUAGUC